CAGAACAGAACAGGAAGUUAGGAACUUGUAACAGGAAGUUAAGAACUUCUAACAGGAACUGAGGAAAUUUUUUUGGGCUUUUAGCAACAUUGCAAAUUCCCUCAAGGAAUUUGCAAGGGAGUUUUUUAAAUUGCAAAAGUAAUGAGGAAAAUUGCAAUCAAUUUAGAAACUCAAAAGAGGAACGCUUCACGUAGUUUACCUGUAA